AAGAACAUAAUAAAUCUGCAUGAAAUUUGUUCACUAUUCAAAUACUUGUACAUUUUGCUUGCUAGCGUAACUCUGUGCUAGGUUGCUAAUUGUCUUCUUACUAGUGUGAUUGAACUUUCAGACUGGAUAAUUACACAACAAACUGGGUCGGGCUUCUUGGAAGCUCAUUUGCCCUCGUGGUUAACCGCACCCCAAGUUCCAAGACCGCCUAAGAAACAAAAAAAAAAACACGUCUCAAACCCAAUUCAUAGGGUUGAUGCCUGGGCCACAGAGUGCAGGACAGCAAUGGCAUGGGGCCUCGCAAUUUCUGGCACUUUCCAUUUCAGACCAGUUCACAGCUGAACCGAAGCACUUUCCAAUCUUUCCCAACUUUUUGUUUAGUUGACUUCUGUAAGUUCUUUUAAGUCCUUUCCUUCCCUCGCUGUUGUCUUCAAUCCAAACGGUGCCUUAAGAUCUGAGCUCUGUGAAGAAUGAGGCUAUCAGAGAGGUUGGGAUUUCUUCAAGGGUGGUUGCCCCUCUCUGUUUCUUCUUAGCCUAUGAUUUCUGUUUUGCCAUCAGUAAACUAAAAUCCAACAGCCCUUCAUCUUUCAGCAACAACAUUCAGUUCUGGUUAUUGAACCCGGGUUCGAUACCUCUCAUUUAGACAGAAGAAAAAAAAAGGGGUACAUUGAACGGUUGAAUCCGGAUUGUUCACAAAUCCUUGAAAGCCCAAAUCAUGCAAUGUAAGGCACGCAGUCCUUGAAGCUUCAUCUUACUCACUCAAAAUUCGCUCAUAAGCUGAAAAAAUUAGUGCAAUAAAAUACCCAACUCUGUCUAAUAAGCUUCGCACCAUGGCUCCAAGCCUUUGACAGGUAAAGCAUCUCAAAUUUCCCUGAGCUUCUGCUCUCAGAAAAAUCGGAUCGGCAAAACGGCCUAGCACUACUGCUACUACUAUUAUUGAGUUUGCUCACUUUCUCGAUAAGCCCGCUUAUCUGAAGGCUGUGAUGAUGAUUUUAACAUUUUGAGGGGAUCCAUCCAUCUUUCUGGGGUUGGGUCUCUCUCUGUUUUCUAUGUCAAUGUUUUCCUCACGUCACAUUGCAACCGGUUUUGCAGCCAUGACGGUGUCAUUUUCUCUUUCUGAUGCCUUUAAUUGUUGCCGUGAAUUGGUCUGAAAUGGAACUUGUGAGGCCCCGUUUCCCUUUCUGUCACCAUUGUUCUGUAUUCUCUUGGAUGCAAUGAUGAUUUUUCUUAGUUGUGAUUUGAGCAUGGAGGAAAUCGUGGACCCGUAUCUUGGUGGUGCAGCCCUGAUGGCAUGUGAGAUGAGAAGAAUUUAAAGAUGGGUUCUUUCUUCUCUUUCAUGCAACUGGGCUUGUGCGCUACGGCGGCGUCUUUCCUUUCAUUUUUCCCUGAUCAAAAUUAAACAUCUGAGCCUUCUAAGGUUUAUGCUCUGCCAGUGUUUGUGAGCAUUCAAAAACCUUGAAAUUUUAGCUCUCUGAAGAAUGAGGCACCAGAAAGAUGGGAUUUUUUAAAGGGUGGUUGUCCUCUCUGUUUAGCCUGUGAUUUGUUUCGUAUGAAAACCAACAGCCCUUUUACAGCCUCGUUUGGUUGGGACUGUGGAAUGGGAACUGGAAAGGGAAUGCAUUUAUAUAGGGAAAGUGUCUCUAUCACAACUUCCCAUGCGUUCUUUUUUUGUUUCAUAUGUUAUGACAAUUGACAAUGAUGAUGAUGAUGCAUUGAAGGUAGUGUUUAUUUAAAGAAAAUGAAAGGCUGUGAUGAUAUUUCUUGUGAGAGCAAGUGAUAUAGGCAUUGACGGUGGAAUCUGACCCGUAUCUUGGCUGGGCAACCUAGAUGGCAUUUUGGGCGAAAACUCCCUUUCUAACAUGCAACUGGUGAUUUGCAGCCAUGGCGGUGUCAUGGCACCAAUGCCAGGUUAAGUAUGGAUCUGAGCCUUGUUUGUGAUGUCUACCUGUUUAAGCCAUAUUUACUGCUAUACAUCUUUUGGCUUUUCUCGUUUUACUGCUAGCUGUAGUUGGAUAGUUAUUCCAGGACGUCUGAAGUUUGAUUCACAAGUCUGAUGAUUGAUGACUCUGAUUGUCAAAAAAUACUUCACUAUUUCAGCACCGUAACUUGUAAUUAUCUUCCAAUAUUCAAUGGACAAACAUGAUAACUUUUUGAAAGCACGCUUGUUUUGUAUGUGGAGUGCGUUUAGUUAAUUAAUUACAUCUCAUGUAAUAACAUUCAAUUUUUUGAAGUAAUCUUACGUGAAGGAGUUUGCAUUCCUAUGGUUGAUUGUAGCUGCUGCUGUGAUGUUACGCGAUUAGCUUUUACUUGGUUGCUACAUACAUACGAAGUAAGAAUUUUGACCCAAACUUGAUUUGAACCUCUCCAAUGUUGCCUUGAUGUCAAAGUAAAGAUCUGAGCCAUUUGCUUCAAUGUUUUUUUUAUUUAGGACGAAAAUGUUAAUCACAUAUAAGAUUUUCUUAGAUGUGGUGAUAGCUAUUGCUUCUAGAGCUGUUGCUUGUUCUAACCUGCUUAUUUGCUGCGAAGUCUGAAAGUAUCAGCCUUCUUCUCAAAUUUUCUGCUCAAAAAAUGAAUGAGGCAACAGAGAGAGAUUGGGAUUUUUGUAAGGGUGGUUGCCCACUCUCUAUUUUAGCCAAUGAUUUCCUCACCCAAAUAAACCAACAGCCCUUGUUGUAGCAGGAUCAUGCUAAUCCUUUCUCUGUAUCAUUUCAAUUUCUUACAGUAUCCUUCCACUUCAAAAUAAGCUGUGGUGAAAUGUUUCCAAAGCCAGUAUGGUCAGGCAUUGAGGUGCUGACCAGUGACCCCUAUAUAUUUUUGGCAACCUGGAUGGCAGAAUUGGGGUGGGGGGAUGAGGUUCAUUCUCUUCCCUCUCUCAAAUGCAACCGUUAUUGUAGGAUUAUGCAUUUACUCAUUGUUGAAGCAAGAAAAACUUGCCCCAAUUCUCCCUGUACUCCUUAUUUUUCUCCACUCCUAAACAACACCAAACUAGGCCUUUCUUAAUAUAUGCCAGCAAUAAAAACAUGCCUCAAGAUGGAUAUCAAUGGUCUUCAGGAUAAAGAAGAAUGAGGCAGCAGAGGAUGGGAAUUUGUUAAGGAGGUGGCCCAUCUGGAUGCCAACAAUUUCAUUAUUCACCAUCAGUUAAAGAUGGACGGAACUAACAGCCCUGGUAGAAAAUAAGGGGAUGCCUUAUAAAGCAACAGUGUGUCUUCUCCUGUUCAAAUAAUUGGCUAUGAUGAUGAUGUUUUCUUUAUCUGUGACAUCAAGGUAAAGCUGACCCAUGUCUUGGCAGGGCAACCUGAAUCAUGUGUGAGAUGAGAAGGAUUCGAAAAUGGGUUCUUUCUCACUUGCAUGUAAUUAGGUUUUUGCAGCCAUUGUGGUGUCCUCCUUCCUCUGAUCAAAAGAAUAGAUCUGAGCCAACUUUCUUUACUGUUGCUUAUUUUUGGCUUGCUAGUACUGCCUGCUAUUAUGGAUUCGUUGAAAUUUCAGCUCUAUGAAGAAUGAGGCAUCGAAGAGAUGGGAUUUUUUUGAAGGCUGUGAUGAUAUUUUGUGAGAACAAGUAAUUCAGGAUUUAUGGAUGUAUGGAACCCGUUUCUUGGCAGCGCAACCUGGAUGGCAUUUUGGGUCGUGAUGAAUUGCUUUUUAUACGCCCUUUAUGACAUGCAACUGGUGAUUUGCUGCCAUGCUGGUCUCACAGCGUCAAUGCCUGGUCAAAUACGAAUCUGAGCCUCAUUGUCCACACAGUGUCUUGUCUUGAUACGCAUGCGUCUUCUGCUCUACUUGUAUAUUGCAGCGGCUGUGUUUGGAUACUUAAUUUCAUUAGGUUUCGAGUUCAAUUCUCUGGUUUGAUGACUGAUGAGUUUGAUUGGUAAAAAGAGAACAAUUUUUACCAAUGUAAAUUGGAAUCAUCUUUUUAUAUUUACCAGAAAAACAUCUAUAUGGAACAUUAGUGCUGUUUUAUUUUAGUAAAAUCAGUAGCUGUGAAAAACUUGUGGGAGUGAUUUCAAUUAAUGCCAUUGUGUUUGAUCUAA